GCCCCCAUAGCUCAGUUGGAUAGAGCAUCUGCCUUCUAAGCAGAGGGUCACUGGUUCGAAUCCAGUUGGGGGUG
rnacentral:tRNA from 1 species